ensembl:snRNA U6 U6 spliceosomal RNA
GUGCUUGCUUUGGCAGCACAUAUACCAAAAUUGGAACGAUACAGAGAAGAUUAGCAUGACCCCUGCACAAGGAUGACAUGCAAAUUUGUGAGGUAAGUUUGAGAGGUUGUUUUU